CCUAAUGAUCUCUAUGAAAUUUCUCCCAUGCUCUAUAGGGAAGGGAAAAGGAAAAAGAAAUCGAAAGGCAAACGAGCUGAGGAACCUAUAGAAAACAAUAGAAUUUUUGAACCUGCAGACAGUGACAUUGCUCGCAUGAAUCUGCCUCACUAGAAGCAAUUAAUGGUGGAAACCCUGGUCCUAUUCCUUUUCAUGUUGAAAAGGAAGCAUGGCAAACAGUAUCAGUGGGUUUCAAGGCCCUGAGGUUUUCUUGCAUCUGGAUUGUUUGGGAAGAACCUCUAAUCUCACCAAGAAAGGAAGCUUCUCUCUCUUUUUGUUUUGUAUUUGGACCUUUCUUAUGGCCAAUUCUUCUGGUCAGCUAGUUCCUUUUAAUCGCGCGAUUUGUUUUGUUUGGGAAGGUUCUAUUCAUGGCUGCUUUCUUGGAGUUUUCUUGUAAGUUUAGAGCUACAGGGAUUCUGUGCUUUGGUCUUCCUCUCCUUUCUUGUGUUCUCUUUGUUGCCUUGAAGCUACAAGUGUGUUUGUUGAACUAGUUUAAUUUUGCUUUCAAUCUGAAAUGUUUUUUGAAAGUAGUGAUAAAUCCAACGAUUCAUAUAUGUUGAAUAUGGAAAACUCAAGUUAAACUCUUCCAUCUCCUGCAUAUGUAAUUAAUGAAAAAAAAAAAAAAAGUUCUUCGUGAAAUUGAGACAUGUAUUUAAUUAUCAUUGGACUAAA